AGAAGAAGUCUUCUUCACAGUUACUGGACUUGAAGCCCAUAGAAAAUAUCUGGUGGGACUUAAGGAAUGUGGUUGCAGCACGCAAACACAGAAUAUUACUGAACAUUGCUCAUGAGCAAUGGUCUAAGAUUCCUCAGGAAUGCUGCCAGAAGCUGGUGACUGGCUAUGCAUCUCAUUUGCAGCAGGUCAUAACGGCAAAAGUGUGCUAUACUAAGUACUAAAGAUGCUUGCCAUGAAGGAUUUUAACAAUUUUUAGACUAGAGAAGUAAUUUUCCGUUGAAUUUGGGGAAACCAAUUGAAGCAUUCAUAAUGUUGAGCUUUUUCAAUUGCUUUUGUUUGAUUUGUUCAUUGCAAAUAGCUGAAAGUCUGUAAAUGUUGACAAUAAACAUGAUUUUUAAUGGGGGUUGAAUAAUUUUAUUACUAUAUAUAUUGUUAACCAUUUUAAAUGUGAACAUUUUUCCUAUUCUUUUUGUCUUCAAGAGUACAAAUAACAUAAACAAAUAAUCUGCAGGAAUAUUUACAUUCCUUAUCCAUUCCUCUUAGGUUCAAUGUCGUGACGUAUAUCUGGUUUCUUACUUUUCUGAUCUACGUUCUACUAGCAGUCACUUCCAAGUUCAACCCUGUCUUCUUAUUUUACAAUUGUGUAGCAAACAUGAAUGCCUUAAUGUCUUAACAAACCAAAAAUAGCUCAAGCUCAUUACAAAAAUUUUUAAAGAAAACAACAUUCGGUAAGUUCCAAUUUUGUGAGAACUAAAACUUUAAAGAAAUCCGUACACUACUCAUGCUUAGUAGGCUGCAUUUCUGUCUCCAACUCCUCUCUUAGCAUAUUAACCCCUUAAGGACCAAACUUCUGGAAUAAAAGGGAAUCAUGACAUGUCACAUUUCUCACGUUUGCCCCUUUCUCACUCUGGUGCUCUCAUUAUUUCCCACCUUGACUUUUGUAACCCUCUGAUUGCCUGAAAAGUGCCCAGACUUCCCCUUUACAUUAUGUAAUGAAUGCCUCUGCAGAUUCAUCUACCUUAAGUCCAGAAACUCUCAUGCCUCAAGCCUCUGUCAGUCUCUACACUGGCUUCCUGUUCCAUUUAGGAUAUUCUUGUGCUUACUUGCAAAGCUCUCCACAAUUGUGCCCCUACUUAAAUCUUCUCACUCAGCAGAUAUGCUCCAGCCUGAUCUCUUUGAACCGCUGAUGACCUGUUUCUGUCCCAUUCUCGCACCCGCAUCCUAGACUCUUGCCUGCAGGACUUCUCCAGGGGUGCCCCCUGUGGCACAUUUGACUCAGCCAAUCACUGCUGUCCCUCAAAAAUCUCUAAAAACACAAAACUUUACAGAACCCUACCAGCUCUGCCCUUAACUCCUCAUCCCUUACAAUCUUCCUCUGCUAUCUCCCAUUUACCGUGCUUCCUCCUCAUAAACACCCCACAUUCCUCAGGUACAUACUUAGUUCCCUCUGUAUAUUUCUCCCUAAUUCAUUUAUACUGUAAGCGUGUUUGGGCAUGGCCCUCUGCAACUAAUGUUCCAGUAUCUCAAACGUGUUUUGUUAUAACUUGUUUGUCUUGUUUACCUAUUUUACAGCACUUUGGAAUAUGUUGGUGCUAUUAUAUAAAUGGUAAUUGCUCUAACACUCUAUAAACGCUCUAUAAAUGGUAAUUGCUCGACCCUCCUACCGGUAAAUUCCUUAAAAUAGAUGUGUAUCUCUAUUUCUUGGGCCCAAUUCCAAAAAACAACUAAAACAAAUCCACUUGAUUUCUACCCAGCUCUGAAUACUGAAACACUGUGCUAAGGAGUUUUUCAUCUCUAAUCAUAAACACCUUAUUGCAAACUUCAUAAGCCUGUUAUAGGAUAUGAGAUACGGCACCUGUUUCAUCUUCUCAAAAAAAAAAUGUUCCUCAUUUUAUUGCAAAUAGGUCUGCAGAUGUCAAGUGAACAUAUUUUAUCCUAGCAUUGCAAAGUUUCUCGUUGUUGCUUGAAACCUCAUCCCUCCUAUCAAAUUUUUUAUCCCCCUUGAAAUCUUUCUUUAAUUGAGAGAUUAAUACUCUCACCUUUUGCAUGCUUCCCAUACUAUAAGGACAUUUAAGAUAGCACAAGCUAGACUUGAUCUGGACGUUGUCAAUCUAUAUUGAGAGGACAUCCUUUUGUACAAAAUCAAGUUUUUGUACUGCAUUCCACAUCAGCAUAUGAUAUUUGGCCUGUUCUUAAUGGCAACUGCUCAGCCUGUAGGAUGAGCAGUUGCUGGUAUUUCAUACAACCAGGGUCUUUUUUUCUCCAUAAAGUUAUCAGCAACCAGAGUCGAUAUGAAGCAGACUUGCCAAGCAAUCGCAUUGUCCUAUAAGAAUACCAUCUAUCCUUACAUCCAGUAUUACCAGUUGGAAGUAUCAUCUGCUUCCAAUGAUGAUUUUUGUGGCGUAGUUCUUUAGCUACUUCCCCAUUGAAAUUAAAAUUCUUUCGUAGACAUUUGUAGGUUGAGUCUUUAUUUUAUGCUUCCACCUCUCAUUUCACUUACUUAUUUAUUACCUAAUAUAUUGUAGUGCUCUCAUGGUUAUGACUGGGAAAAAGGAACGUUCAUCCAUUCAGUUUUCUUUUCAUGGCUACGUGCCAUUGGUAUCACUACUCUCAUUCACUUUCUUGUUUUAUGGCUAAGAACCAGAUUGGGAAAGGGAGGGAAUAUUGUUUUAUCAUUUUGGGCUUUAUUAUAUGUCAGACCCAGCUAGUAACUACAGGGAGUGCAGAAUUAUUAGGCAAAUGAGUAUUUUGACCACAUCAUCCUCUUUAUGCAUGUUCUCUUACUCCAAGCUGUAUAGGCUCGAAAGCCUACUACCAAUUAAGCAUAUUAGGUGAUGUGCAUCUCUGUAAUGAGAAGGGGUGUGGUCUAAUGACAUCAACACCCUAUAUCAGGUG
rnacentral:lncRNA from 1 species